rnacentral:rRNA from 1 species
GAUGAACGCUGGCGGCGUGCUUAACACAUGCAAGUCGAACGGAAAGGCCCAAGCUUGCUUGGGUACUCGAGUGGCGAACGGGUGAGUAACACGUGGGUGAUCUGCCCUGCACUUCGGGAUAAGCCUGGGAAACUGGGUCUAAUACCGGAUAGGACCACUUCUUGGAUGUUGUGGUGGAAAGUUUUUCGGUGUGGGAUGAGCUCGCGGCCUAUCAGCUUGUUGGUGGGGUAAUGGCCUACCAAGGCGUCGACGGGUAGCCGGCCUGAGAGGGUGUACGGCCACAUUGGGACUGAGAUACGGCCCAGACUCCUACGGGAGGCAGCAGUGGGGAAUAUUGCACAAUGGGCGCAAGCCUGAUGCAGCGACGCCGCGUGGGGGAUGACGGCCUUCGGGUUGUAAACUCCUUGCGCUAGGGACGAAGCUUAUUUUGUGACGGUACCUGGAGAAGAAGCACCGGCUAACUACGUG